UUCUCUUCUGAGAGGUGGAGCCCAUCAUUUCCCUCCCACCCUGGUACAUCAAGUCUCUGCAGGGUUAGGUGCAUCUUCUCCCACUGAGACCAGACAAGGCAGCCCAGUUAGCAGAACAAGAUCCACAGACAAGCAACAGAGUUAGGGACAGCACCUGCUCCAGUUGUCGGGGGACUCUCAUGAAGUCGGAACUGAGCAUGUGCUACGUGCUACAAAUGUGCCAGGGGUGAGGUAAGGUCCAGCCAUGCAUGCUUUUUGGAUGGUGAUUCAGCCUCCAAGAGUCACUCCCAAAGGUCCAGGUAAAAUGACAUAUAGGAAUGAGAGGCGCUUGUACACCUGAGAGCUGACCACAGGGGAAAUACCUCCCCAAUCCGCACCCCCAAACAAUAAUUGAAAACCUUUCCAACUUUGCCAUCUAGAUACACUCACAUUCUGACAGGUUGGAGGCUGAGGCUUCUGCACCUGAACUUGAACAGGAUCCAGGGCAUCCAGUGAAGCUCCAGGACUGUACACAUCUGACUGCGCACAGAGAGGUCUUCCCGCUUCCGCGAACAGGGCUAUAGGCGGUAGGGAACCCAGUCGACACCAGCAGUCUCUGCACCUGGACCUUCUUCUUGUGAGGCCACAGGGGGAAAAGGAGGCCCUCUUCUUUCUCCCUAUAUGCCAGAGAACCCCCAAUCUGUCCCCAGGAUCUGGCCCAGAUGGAACAUUUCCCUCCCUGGAGCUGUUGCUGGGAAUUCAUAGGCCCUGCACCUGGGUUUUCUGAUUCAAAUAUGAGAGGCUCACAAGGAACCGCUAGGUAGGCCUCCUCCCCUGUGCUGCCUGUGCUUAGAGCAGGUCAAGUGGCAAUCAUGGAUGCUGUCAACAGAGCUUCUGUUCUCACAAGUACUUAGCCUCUUGUUUUAAAAUGACCAUGCUCAGGCUGUCCAUUGUCACAAAGAAUGAACUCUUGAAGACGUGUAACUGUUACUUGGCAGAAGUCACCAUUGGGGUUGUGUGUGCCAUGCCUUUGGCACAUUUGUGACAUGUUCCUCAUGACAAUGUCACAUGGAAUACAGCCCUGAAAUCUCUUUUGUCAUUUCUUUUUACUGCCAACCCCUCAGCCCUUAGCUAUUGCCAAAGAACAGCUCUUACACUGCCUUUCCCCCUGCUCUGGCAUUGACUUUUGGUCCUUUCUGGACAAAGUAUCCUUGGCAAGAUAGCCAGGUGCUGAGGUAUGCUCUUAAAUGUAUGUACUGAAAUUCCAGGAUGUGUCAACUAAGUGGGACCAAGAGGGAGGUCUGGGUGUGACUCAAGAGUCCAAUAAUUACCAGUCUGUUUCCAGCUCUUUUUUUAGUACUGAUGUUAAAUAACCAUCCGAUGGAGUUCAGGAGAAAAAAACUCAGCCAUCCUUUCUAUGCUGUCCUACAUUGUCUCUGUUCAUGAUAUCCCCACCCUUAGAAGAAUAAAACCCUCGAGUGUCA